rnacentral:rRNA from 1 species
CAAUAGCGUAUAUUAAAGUUGUUGCAGUUAAAAAGCUCGUAGUUGGAUUUCUGGUGGGAGCGAUCGGUCUGGCGCUUAGCGCGAGUACUUGCAUCGUCUCCGGCCAUCCUUGGGGAGAGUCUGUCUGGCAUUAAGUUGUCGGGCAGAGUAUCCUCAUCGUUUACUGUGAAAAAAUUAGAGUGUUCAAAGCAGGCUUAUGCCGUUGAAUAUAUUAGCAUGGAAUAAUAAGAUAGGACUUUGGUGCUAUUUUGUUGGUUUGCGCACCAAAGUAAUGAUUAAUAGGGACAGUUGGGGGUAUUCGUAUUCCGUUGUCAGAGGUGAAAUUCUUGGAUUUACGGAAGACGAACUACUGCGAAAGCAUUUACCAAGGAUGUUUUCAUUAA